AUUGAACGCUGGCGGCAGGCUUAACACAUGCAAGUCGAACGAGUGGCGGACGGGUGAGUAAUGUCUGGGAAACUGCCUGAUGGAGGGGGAUAACUACUGGAAACGGUAGCUAAUACCGCAUACCAUCAGAUGUGCCCAGAUGGGAUUAGCUAGUAGGUGGGGUAAUGGCUCACCUAGGCGACGAUCCCUAGCUGGGCUGAGAGGAUGACCAGCCACACUGGAACUGAGACACGGUCCAGACUCCUACGGGAGGCAGCAGUGGGGAAUAUUGCACAAUGGGCGCAAGCCUGAUGCAGCCAUGCCGCGUGUAUGAAGAAGGCCUUCGGGUUGUAAAGCACUUUAAGCGGGGAGGCGUUACUCGCAGAAGAAGCACCGGCUAACUCCGUGCCAGCAGCCGCGGUAAUAC
rnacentral:rRNA from 1 species